CAGUGUGGAAUUUCGAUUUAAAACCUGCCCCUGUGGGGAAUGCCGUCUGGCAAGCUGCGUAAGGGAGACUUCCAAGUUUCCUGAAUAAAACCAGUUUUAGAGAGGAUUGUUGACUACUGAAAGCUAUCUGAUAAAGAUUUUGGUGCUUCGCGAUAUAAAUGCGAACAUGAGUGGAAUUAUAAGCAGACUGUUGGUGCAGAAAGAUGUCCUGAAGUAAAGAAGCCUGGUCUUGCCAGGUAAAUGGGACACAAUUGGGACUGGGAGCAGGUCGCUCUUUGGAGAUGGCCCUAAUGUGAAGCUCUUCACAAGCCCUGUGGAAGGCAGUGAGACAGCAAGGGCAGGAGAUUCUUCUGGGUGUUUAUGCUGAAAACAUCUUGUCCGAGGAAGAAGGAAUCCAAUAAAACAUGCGCGUGAGCUUGGGGACUAGGGUUUGUGGAGACUAGUGUUUGUAAAGACUAGCUAUUUUUCUGCCUUAAGAUGUUAAGAAGUGGUAACAGUUACACCAUUUUGAUUGCACAUACAUUAAAAUUCUUUCUCAAAAACAACUG